UUAAAGGCCAUAACUGGGGAGAAAGAGCAGAAGACUGAGUGCACCCUCCCUCCAUCUGCGCUGUACAAGAUGGAGGGGAAACAAGGCCAUAACCUCAUUCCUUAUAUCAAUGCCUUCCUGCCUCUUUUGGAGAGUCCGGUAUAGUGAAAUCAAUGGGAGUUAGAUUCACAGAUUUGCAUUCAACAGUCAGAAGUGGAGCAGAGGAAAAGAGUCUAUGGAUACUUAAUCACAGACUAUGAACAGUUGCGAGCUAAUGCAGGACAUCAGGAUUUCUCUCACUGCACGUCAAGUACAGUAUCAUCUGCUUGUCAUGAGGUGCUGGUAGCUCUUCUGCAUUGUUCUGUCUUUUCCUAAAAUUGGAUACUUUCAUUGGUUACAAUGGGAUAACUUGCAGAAUAAGGCAAUACUCAGUGCAAGUAAAAGCCCCAUGACCGGCCUACAGUCCUGGGGGCUGAGAUUGUGUUAGAUAUUUUGGGAAAGGUAACUUCCCCUAGAUAGUCAAAUAGCGGUAAAGUUCUUUAUUUAACUGGCAACCUCACUCCUGUGAAGUGGUAAUGAUCUCCCUAUCUGUGAUAAAUAAGGAAACAAAUGUGCUAUUUUUCCCUUGUGGAUUGGUGGAUUAAUUUAUCAGGAUGAACUCAAUUAAAAAUAUUAAUUCCUGCACUUUAACUUAUGUACAGUGACUAUCCCUGUCCUGUGGUUGGAUAGCUCUGCUGGUAUAUAAAUAUUUCAUUUCUUAGAAUAAAAGCCUAGAAUUGUUUGUA